UACCAUACAAACUGAACGAUCGGAAUCAAGUUCUUGUAUGGAAAACUUUCACAUUUGACAAUGUAUCUUCAUCAAAUUUGGUAUAGAUUAUUUUCUAAGGCAACAAUGUAAUCUCCGAAAAAAUUGUUCAGAUCGAAGUACUAUAGCAUAUAGCUUCCAUACAUACUGAAUACAUAGUUACUAAAAGAAAUGCACCUGUGAAGGGUAUAUUAGCUUCAGUGCAGCCGAAGUUAACGUUUUUUCUUGUUAUAUUUCAUAACUUGAAAUAAUCCAAUAUGUUUUAUAUCCAACAGUGUAAAUCUCAUAGUUCUUAUAUAGUUUAUGUUUUCUAAAUCACGUACAUAUGUCAAAAGCCCUUCUGGGUACCCUGUAUUUCAAACAAUUUAUUCCAAGAAAGCGGAAUCCCGCACAUCUUGUGUUAAGGAGCAAAUCCAGUGUUAUGUCAAUAUAAAAUCAAUUUUUUUUUAUAAAAAAAUAAAAUUAUAAGGUUAUAUAUUGUCACCAAAAUUCAAAAAUAACUUAAUAUCACUUUUCAUAAGUUUACAGGCAAAGGUAAAACGAUGUAAAAAUCCACUCAUAUUGGAACAAAAUUUGAGUUUUGGUUAUAAAAUGGUUAUAUAUUGCUUAUAUAGUGGUUAUAUGUUGGUUAUAUAUUGUAGUGAAAAUUUUGCAAAAUCACUGAUUGUGAAAAUUAGCAGUUCAUUAGGAAGGGGACCAGAAUUCCUUUUUUGUGAAAGUUAUUGAAAAAAAUUUUAAAAUUAUUUUCUAAUAAAAUACUGGAGAUAAAUCUGUAAAAUUUUUAAAGUCAAAGAAAAAUCUUUGUGCUACAUCAUACACAUUUUUCACGAUCCAUUUGUUUAAAUAAUAAUAUCUUUUGAAUUUUUAUUUAAUUUUUUGCUAAACAAUUGACAUUUUUUGCGUGUUCUUUACGCUAAAAAAAUUCUUGUUGUUCAAUUUAGAAGGCUGCAACUCAAAAGCUAUUGGAAAUAUCUACUAAAAGUUUCAGUAACAUAGUUUUAAAAAUAUAGAUCACCAAUAUGUAAAAAAAAUUAAAAAUUUCACACAAAGUCAAAAGAUUAAAAAAGAUUAUAUCAUAUUGAAAUAUUCUAAAUUAAAAACUGCUUCUUAAGUUCUUAUAAUUUCUUUUAACUAUUUCUUAAAAAAUUAUAAUUUUCUAAAAAGCUCUAAAAAUUUCUGCAAGCGCUUGGUAAAGUAAGGAGGAGAGUCCUGAACGAGAAUGUUAAAAACAGAGUCUUAUAACUGCAAGUUUUUACAUUCAUUAAAAUAGAUUUAUAAAUUUUCAUUUCAUAUUUUCACCAAAGCGCAUUCAGAAGUUUAAACCACUUCACUCCUUUCAUUUUGCAACUACUCCAUUUCCAUUUCUCAGAGAUUUUUUGUUUCGAAACACAGCUUUGCUCACAUUCAGAAUUCCAACACUCGUUAGCGAGCGCUCAGUUGCCUUUUAUUAUUGUAAUGCUUUAUCACAAAAUUCAUUUUUUAAUGAAUAAAAAUCAAUUAUAUAAAAUGCAAGAAUAAAAAAAGAAUUAAAGAAAAAAAUUUAAGCCAAAAAAAGUAUAUGCCUGAAGUCUCAUAAUCGACAUCAUAACAUUUACACGUCAAACGCGUUUAAUGAGAAGAACAUAAGUGUCAUAGCAAUAUGCAAAACAUAUCAUAAAUGUUGUAAUUUACUGUGUUAAUGCUAAUGUGGUGGAUGCACACAACUCCAAAUGAACUCAUACAUAUUAUACAUACAUACAAAUACCGAAUAUAAGUGCACCAAAACCAAUACCGUUAAUAUCUACGUGUACAUACUUGUAUUUAUGUAUUUAAUAGUAAUAAUAAAUGGCGACAAGCGCCAAUGUACAUACAUAACUGUAUACACAUCCAAAAAUAUCUAUGUACCAUAUACGCCAUUAAUACAUGAAUACAACAUAUGUGUGUGUGUGUGAGAAGUUGAAAUCUUAAGAAAUAUGUUUAAUUGGUGUACUUUGUAUUUGUGACGCAAUGCAAAUAAAGAUAACGUAUGCAAAGCAAAACUUUACGCAGGUGAACCUGAACCAAAAGCAAAACAAGAACAAAAACGAAAACAAACGUUUCCUUCGGCCUACAACUGCCACCGAGGCGUAUACGUAAUGUAGCACACUGCGUAUGAGUAAUUAAACAGCGCGUCGGCGGUGCGUGCGUGUAAGAUAUGUAAAUGUGUUUGUGUCUAUAUCCGUUCGGCAAUCUAACGUCACAGUCGACGUGGCGGCACGGAGCCGGAGAAAGCGGCGGCAAGCGCCAAUCAAUGCGUGUGUAUGUGGAAGGUCACAGCACCCACACUCACGAAGGCUACAUAAUGCUAAUGUGUGUGUGUGUGUGUGUGCAACUCGUAGAUGUCACAAAAAUGUCAAGUGUCACAUAAAUGUCAGCGCAAAGCAAAGAAGAGUUGCAUAACGCAAUUUUAUUUAUAUGCAAAAGAUAAAACGGAAUAAAUUUCCUGCCACGGCAACACACACACCCACACAUACACAGCUGCGCUGGCGAAGUGAAAGUAGUUGGAGCUGAGCAUUGAAUUUAGGCGUUGAAGUGCUGGCUUAUAUACGAGGAAACGAGCAUUACGAAUUACCAUAAAAUUCAUGCAUUUGCGUGACUUGGCAGUUUGCUCGAAAUAAAAGCUGGCAAUGUUGUUUUGUUUUUACUGUACUUUUUUAUAACUUUUUGUACUUGUACUUGUUGUUGUUGCUGCUAUUGUUAUACAAGGAAAUAAUUGUACGCUUGUGCAUUUGUCAGUACAUAUGUAUGCGUGCGUUUCAUGUCUAACUGCAUUUGGUUACCGUUAUAUAUAUGUAGUUAUAUACCGUUUACCACUUCCCCAAUUAAUUCAGUUUUCAAUUGUACUAAAAGAGUUUUCCAAUUCAUUAUAUUUUAGUGCCGAUAAUAAAAUUAUAGUUACUUUAUGGCCUUGUGAGGAAGUUUACGAACAUGUGUUCGUAGGUGACGGGAUAUGGCAAAGGAAAUCACCCGAAAUAAUAAAUUUAUAUUUUUAUAAGUCAUAUAUAAAUAAAAGGUGCUCAUUCAGCUUUAUUUUAAAUAAGUAUUUGUAAUUUUAAUGAUUUCGUAAGGUAUCUAUAAGAGAUUUAGACCAGAAACAAACCAGUUAUCUAUACCAUAUAUAUAACAGAAACGAACCAUCUAUUUAAUUGAUUUCAGAAAAUAUAUAUACCAGAUGAAAACCAGAAACAAACCAUCUAUACCAUAUAUAUAACAGAAACAAACCAGUUAUCUAUAUCGUACAUAUACCAGAAAGAAGUUAGUUAUCUAUAUGGUAUAAAUACCAGAAACAAACGGGUUAUCUAUAUUAUAUACAGACCAGAAAGAAAUCAGUUUCAUACCAGUUCAAGGAAGGAAAAAUGAAAAUGGCGUCAUUAGAGCUCCCAAGAGGUUAUUUUUGAACUUUUAGGUAUAAAGCUUUGCUAAAGAAAGAACUUUUUUGUUUAAAUUAAUUUAUGUAAUGAGGAACAUAUACAUUAUGACUGCCUAAUGAGAGGCGAUUUUUGUGAUUUAGAAAACUCGUAUUCGUGUAUUUUCAAAUUUUAGGAGUAAAUUAAUCAUUUUUCGUAUUAGACGCGAUCUCAGAAGUUCAUAAAAAAGGUCUUCACUGCUGCAGUGAGUUUGGCCUUCUUCGUAAAUUACACCGCAAAAUACUAUCCGCAGAAAAUAUAUCGGUUUAAUUUUUUUUUUUAAUUGAAGACUAACCGAUAGAAAGGUUAUAAUUCAAAAGACUGUAACUCAAAAAAUUUGUUCUUACAAAAUUUCAGUAUAUGGCACAGAAAAACUUUAAAUAAUUUAUAAAUUCGGGUUUUACAUAUCGUCACCUAAAAUUUAAAGAGAAAACGAUAUAAUAGAAACCAAUAAUAUUAAAAUGAAUUUUGAGUUUUGGUUAUAGGAGGGGUUAUGCUAUCAUAUUGAAAAAAUUACAAUUUUCGUUAUAAAAUGCUUACAUACUGGUUAUUAUAUCUGUUAACGAUUUUCAAUUUUUUUUGUUUUGAUGAUACGUUGUUUUGCAUUUUAGGUGACAAUAUAAUCUGUUGUAUACCUUUAGGCUGCUACCAAGUAUAUGGUGUUUAGUACACUACGUCAGAUCUAACGAGUUUUCUGACUCAUUUCGAUGAUGAUAACGUUAAAAUGUUUUAUUUUAGCUGUUAUUAGAGCCGGUUAGGCUUCAGAAGCCUCUUAAGCAAAGAAACAGAACAUGUUUAUUUUUAGUUUUCCUUAGAGAUGUUUGGUCUUCAAAAGGCUCUUAAACACAAUUCGUCCAUCAUAUAGUGACACUAAUUACUUGAAUACCGUGAACAACAGCAACAACAACAGCAUCACCGGCAGUAAAUACCAGUAUAGAUCUUCAAACAAAAUUUUAUUUUUAAAUAAAUUUAAGAAACGCAAAAGAAAACUUUAAUAUUUUUACCAAAUCGGUUCAAAAGUGCAGCAGCCAAUGCAUUAAUUGUCGAAGAAAAUUAAAUCGGACGGCAGGACAAAUUUACCAGUGCAUUCAUGCCUACAUAUAUUUGCACGCACACACGCAUGAGCUAAUUAAUUUUAUUAAUUGAGCAUUAAAUUGGCUGAUAGAUUGACAAAUAACGAAAAAAAACGUAAUUUUUGCUAACAAGCGGCCGCCGGCUAAAUCUAACAAGAAAUAUUAUUACACAAGCGAACUGAAGUACACAAAAGAACAAAUGCAUAAUGCGUUGAGAAAUGAAUAUGCGCAAUUACAAUUGCAAUUACAAAAACCAUUUAAUUUGCAAAUUUUAUAAAACUACACAUCACUCACAUAUACAUACGCACAUUGUCAUCGCAUUUUAUUUGGAGAUACAGAUAUACCAAAAUCCAACAAAUAAAUAAAUAAACAAACAAGAAUUGAUGUAUUAAAACACAAAAAAAGCAUACAUAAACAUACAAACAUUCCAAAAACAAAAAAACUUUUUUUGCAUAAAAGGAAGUAAGCAGAAAUAAUUAUGCCAUACGAGGCUGCAUACAUAAAUUAAUUAAAUUAACGGUAUGAGAACACAAAAAGUCGACACUACAUAACAAAAACAAAACAAAAACAAAAAUUAUGCGUAAAUUAAAAAUAAAAUUUUGUAAAAAAUACACAAAAACUUAAUGUAAAAAAGUAAAGAUUAAAUAUUAAAUAUAUAUAUAUAUAUAAUAUACAGCAAAAAAUUAAAUAAAUAUACAAAAAAGAUAUUAAUAAAUAUACAUACAUACAUGCAUAGCUAUUGUGCAUACAGCCAUAAGUAAAUGUAAUUGAAAUAUGAACAAACAAAUCGGCAAUUGAUAGCAAAACACUAAAUAUUCUUAUAAUAAUAAAAAACUGUAACAAAUGUAAAAACCAACCGACAACAAAAUGAAUAGCAGUUAAAUUUAAAUGACUGUAAAAAGCAUGCGUGCGUAACAGAAAUGUGAAAAACUUAAAUAAACAAGCAAAUAAAACAACAAACAUAAAUUAAAGUGGAGAAGCUGCAGUAUGCGAAUAUUUAUUGUGGAUAUUCAAAAGAAAUAAAUGUUAAAAAAUCUGAA